UCUUCCUCACAAGCUGCUGCGACGCCAUUACAGCAAGGGAGGGAGAGGAGAUUCACAAACCCUCACCAUUCCUUCCAACUACCAUAACUUUCUCAUCCGGGCUCCGAUCGCCGCACCGUUCGCGGCCACGCGUCGGGCUCGUCGAGCUCUUCAAUUUUAUCCAAACAAAACAGGGUUCACUAGACUUGAUUUCUUGUGGGUAUUGCCCAAGGAUCAGUGGGUAAAGGUAGUGUGUAUGUGGAUGUUGAUACUUGUUGGAGGCUUGUUGGUGAUCAAGCUUGGUUUGGGGCUGUUUGAUUGAGUUUGGAGGGGCUGUAAUUUUGAGUUGUGAGGCUGCCUUGGGUGAACUAAGUGAUCGGCCAAGAUGCAGGUCGAGAGGCUCCUCGCUAGGCGUCUGGAUUCUGGAAAGCGAAGUAGUUCUUGGGUGUAUUUUGGUUUCUAUUUGUAUAUAUGUAUAUAUAUAUGUAGCUCACUCUCCAAGUAACUUAUGUAUGCUGCUCCUCUUAGAGGUUGAGGGAGAGAUAGGAGUUUACUUUGGUAUUUUGGUAUAUUUU